AGAGAGAGAAAGAGAGAGAAAGAGAGAGAUGGGUAGGAGUCCAUGUUGUGCAAAGGAAGGACUGAACAGAGGAGCAUGGACAGCUAUAGAAGACAAGAUACUCACAGAUUACAUUAAAAUCCAUGGUGAAGGAAAUUGGAGAAACCUACCCAAGAAAGCAGGUCUCAAGAGAUGUGGCAAGAGUUGCAGGUUAAGAUGGUUAAAUUAUCUGAGGCCUGGCAUUAAGAGAGGAAACAUAACACGUGAUGAAGAAGACCUCAUUAUCAGGCUUCACAAGCUCCUUGGAAACAGAUGGUCCCUGAUAGCUGGGCGGCUGCCAGGACGAACAGACAAUGAAAUAAAGAACUACUGGAACNNNAGAUUGCAAAACCAGAAAUUUCCUUGUUCAAGUCAUAAUAAUUCGUUCAAGUUUAACCAACCUCAACACAGACCAAUCCAAAAAUCCAUAUCCAUGUCAAAUGCUAAUGCAAAAAAGGUUUUCUGGACCAAAGCUUCAAAGUGCAGCAAAGUGGUCAUACCCACUACUAUUGGGCCACAGAAUCUUGUCCAUGACAUUACGGUGGUGCCACCACCACCCUCAAUGGCAAAUGUCUCCAGCGAACACCACAGAUAUUCAGAGGAGGAAGAGAAUAAUAAUAACAAUAAUAAUAAUUCUUCGUCUGAUUUAAUGUUGGAUUUUGAGAUGGAUGAACAGCUUCUAUCUGAGUUGCUCAAUGCAGAUUUCUCUCUGCUUAACAAUUUUGAUAAUGGAGCUGCUAGUGACACCAACACUGUAUGUGAGCAUCCCCAGUUAUCUCCAGAUUCUCAAAAAACCCUCCUGGUUUUGGAUGAUGCGAUGCAGGAAAUUAGGUUUCCCUCCAUGGAUUCUUUGAUUGAGUCUGGUGAAUUCGAUUGGCUUGAAGAUUUAGGAAAUAAUGGAGCAGCAGAAGAAGAAGAGGUCUAAAGUUCCGAGGCAGCCAC
rnacentral:misc_RNA from 1 species